GACGGAGGAUGCAAGUGUUAUCCGGAAUCACUGGGCGUAAAGCGUCUGCAGGUGGCAGUUCAAGUCUGCUGUCAAAGACCGGGGCUUAACUUCGGAAAGGCAGUGGAAACUGAACAGCUAGAGUAUGGUAGGGGCAGAGGGAAUUCCUGGUGUAGCGGUGAAAUGCGUAGAGAUCAGGAAGAACAUCGGUGGCGAAGGCGCUCUGCUGGACCAUAACUGACACUCAGGGACGAAAGCUAGGGGAGCGAAUGGG
rnacentral:rRNA from 1 species